rnacentral:rRNA from 1 species
ACGGAAGGCAGCAGUGAGGAAUAUUGGUCAAUGGACGGAAGUCUGAACCAGCCAAGUCGCGUGCAGGAAGACGGUUCUAUGGAUUGUAAACUUCUUUUGCUCGAGGGUAAAGUGAGCCACGUGUGGCUUAUUGCAAGUAUCGAGUGAAUAAGCAUCGGCUAACUCCGUGCCAGCAGCCGCGGUAAUACGGGGGAUGCGAGCGUUAUCCGGAUUUAUUGGGUUUAAAGGGUGCGUAGGCGGGAUGUUAAGUCAGCGGUGAAAGGUUGCGGCUCAACCGUAAAAUUGCCGUUGAAACUGGCGUUCUUGAGUGUAAACGAGGUAGGCGGAAUGUAACGUGUAGCGGUGAAAUGCUUAGAUAUGUUACAGAACCCCGAUUGCGAAGGCAGCUUACCAGCAUACAACUGACGCUGAGGCACGAAAGCGUGGGUAUCAAACAGGAUUAGAUACCCUGGUA